rnacentral:rRNA from 1 species
AGCAGCCGCGGUAAUUCCAGCUCCAAUAGCGUAUAUUAAAGUUGUUGCAGUUAAAAAGCUCGUAGUUGAAUUUCGAGAUCAAAUUGUUGGUCGUGCCUCGGUACGUACUGGCAUUAUUGAUUUCUCCCUUCUGAAGAACCUUGAUGUCAUUAAUUUGGUGUCUUGGGGAAUCAGGACCGUUACUUUGAAAAAUUAGAGUGUUUAAAGCAGGCUCACGCUUGAAUACAUUAGCACGGAAUAAUGAAAUAGGACGUUUGAUUCUAUUUUGUUGGUUUCUAGGAUCGACGUAAUGAUUAAUAGGGAUAGUUGGGGGCAUUAGUAUUCAAUUGUCAGAGGUGAAAUUCUUGGAUUUAUUGAAGACUAACUACUGCGAAAGCAUUUGCCAAGGAUGUUUUCAUUAAUCAAGAACGAAAGUUAGGGGAUCGAAGACGAUCAGAUACCGUCGUAGUCUUAACCAUAAACUAUGCCGACUAGGGAUCGGAUGAUGUUAAUUUUUUAAUGUACUCAUUCGGCGCCUUAC